CCUACGGGGGGCAGCAGUGGGGAAUAUUGGACAAUGGGGGGAACUCUGAUCCAGCGACGCCGCGUGAGUGAAGAAGUAUUUCGGUAUGUAAAGCUCUAUCAGCAGGGAAGAAAAUGACGGUACCUGACUAAGAAGCUCCGGCUAACUUCGUGCAAGCAGCCGCGGUAAUACGUAGGCUGCAAGCGUUAUCCGGAUUUACUGGGUUUAAAGGGAGCGUAGACGGUGCAGCAAGUCCGUUGUGAAAGGUCGGGGCCCAACCCCGAGACUGCAGUGGAAACUGUUGAACUGGAGUACAGGAGAGGUAAGCGGAAUUCCUAGUGUAGCGGUGAAAUGCGUAGAUAUUAGGAGGAACACCAGUGGCGAAGGCGGCUUACUGGACUGUAACUGACGUUGAGGCUCGAAAGCGUGGGGAGCAAACAGGAUUAGAUACCCUUGUAGUC
rnacentral:rRNA from 1 species